rnacentral:rRNA from 1 species
GAUAAACGCUAGCGGCAGGCUUAACACAUGCAAGUCGGGGGCAGCAUAGAUUGUAGCAAUACAAUUGGUGGCGACCGGCGCACGGGUGCGUAACGCGUAUGCAACCUACCCGUCACAGGGGGGUAAUCCGGAGAAAUCUGGUCUAAUACCCCAUAACAUAUGGAUCGGCAUCGGUUCAUGUUGAAAUUUUCGGAGGUGACGGAUGGGCAUGCGUAGCAUUAGCUUGUUGGUGAGGUAACGGCUCACCAAGGCGACGAUGCUUAGGGGGACUGAGAGGUUUUCCCCCCACACUGGUACUGAGACACGGACCAGACUCCUACGGGAGGCAGCAGUGAGGAAUAUUGGUCAAUGGGCGCAAGCCUGAACCAGCCAUGCCGCGUGCAGGAUGACGGCUCUAUGAGUUGUAAACUGCUUUUGUACGAGGGUAAAGUGGGUUACGUGUAACCUUUUGAAAGUAUCGUACGAAUAAGGAUCGGCUAACUCCGUGCCAGCCGCCGCGGUAA